rnacentral:rRNA from 1 species
GACGAACGCUGGCGGCGUGCUUAACACAUGCAAGUCGAACGGAAAGGCCCUGCUUUUGUGGGGUGCUCGAGUGGCGAACGGGUGAGUAACGCGUGAGUAACCUGCCCUUGACUUUGGGAUAACUUCAGGAAACUGGGGCUAAUACCGGAUAGGAGCUCCUGCUGCAUGGUGGGGGUUGGAAAGUUUCGGCGGUUGGGGAUGGACUCGCGGCUUAUCAGCUUGUUGGUGGGGUAGUGGCUUACCAAGGCUUUGACGGGUAGCCGGCCUGAGAGGGUGACCGGACACAUUGGGACUGAGAUACGGCCCAGACUCCUACGGGAGGCAGCAGUGGGGAAUAUUGCACAAUGGGCGGAAGCCUGAUGCAGCAACGCCGCGUGCGGGAUGACGGCCUUCGGGUUGUAAACCGCUUUCGCCUGUGACGAAGCGUGAGUGACGGUAAUGGGUAAAGAAGCACCGGCUAACUACGUG